CUUUAUCUGGAGCUGUGCUCAUAAGCAGUGAGAGGACAAGAGUGUUUGGAGAUUUGCUUUGUUGUUUGGCCUUCAAUGGGUUGCUGUUCAAUUAAUCCUGAAGCACGUUGGACACUACUGCUUUGAAUCACAAAGGAUUAAGCAUUUGAGGUUGGAAUAAUGCUGAAGACCUAAAUUCCACAUUACUUCAGAAGAUGAGGAGGACUGGGAAGUGAGCUGUGUUUUCCAAGAGCUGUUUUGAUUCAAAGUUGACAAAACCACCCCAGAAAUAUAAAAAAGAAGGAAAGAAAAAAAGAAAUAAAUAAAGUAAUGAAAAGGU